rnacentral:SRP_RNA from 14 species
UUGUCGUAGGGCCUGUCCUGGAUGCCGGCUGCAUGUGUAGAGGAGGUCUGCCAAGUCGGAAGCCGGGAACCUCGGGCGCCGGAAGGAAGCUGCAGGACGUGGGGACUU